rnacentral:rRNA from 1 species
AGUGAACGCUGGCGGUAGGCCUAACACAUGCAAGUCGAACGGCCGCACAGUAAGAUCUUGCUCUUACGGGUGGCGAGUGGCGGACGGGUGAGGCAUACAUCGGAAUCUACUUUUUCGUGGGGGAUAACGUAGGGACACUUACGCUACUACCGCAUACGACCUACGGGUGAAAUCAGGGGAUCUUCGCACCUUUCCUGACUGAAUGAGCCGACGUCGGAUUAGCUAGUUGGCUGGGUAAAGGCCCACCAAGGCGACGAUCCGUAGCUGGUCUGAGAGGAUGAUCAGCCACACUGGAACUGAGACACGGUCCAGACUCCUACGGGAGGCAGCAGUAGGGAAUAUUGGACAAUGGGCGAAAGCCUGAUCGAGCAAUACCGCGUGGGUGAAGAAGGCCUUCGGGUUGUAAAGCCCUUUUGUUGGGAAAGAAAAGCAGCAGGUUAAUACCCCGCUGUUCUGACGGUACCCAAAGAAUAAGCACCGGCUAACUUCGUG